GCAUAUCAAUAAGCGGAGGAAAAGAAACCAACAGGGAUUGCCUCAGUAACGGCGAGUGAAGCGGCAAAAGCUCAAAUUUGAAAUCUAGCACCUUCGGUGUUCGAGUUGUAAUUUGAAGAUGGUAACCUUGGGUUUGGCUCUUGUCUAUGUUCCUUGGAAAAGGACGUCAUAGAGGGUGAGAAUCCCGUCUGAUGAGAUGCCCAUUCCUAUGUAAGGUGCUAUCGAAGAGUCGAGUUGUUUGGGAAUGCAGCUCUAAGUGGGUGGUAAAUUCCAUCUAAAGCUAAAUAUUGGCGAGAGGCCGAUAGCGAACAAGUACAGUGAUGGAAAGAUGAAAAGAACUUUGAAAAGAGAGUGAAAAAGUACGUGAAAUUGUUGAAAGGGAAGGGUAUUGAAUCAGACGUGGUGCUGUUGUUCAGCUUUGUUUCGGCAUGGUGUACUCAGCAGUACUAGGCCAAGGUGGGGUGUUUGGGAGUGAAAAAGAAAUAGGAACGUAGCUCUUCGGAGUGUUAUAACCUGUUUUCAUAGCUCCUCAGGCGCCUCAGGACUGCGCUUCGGCAAGGACUUUGGCAUAAUGAUUCUAUACCGCCCGUCUUGAAACACGGACC
rnacentral:rRNA from 1 species